rnacentral:rRNA from 1 species
UACGAACUGUGCAAACGUUAUUCGGAUUCACUGGGCUUAAAGGGUGCGUAGGCGGCCAUGUAAGUAGGGUGUGAAAUCCCCCGGCUUAACCGGGGAACUGCGCCCUAAACUGUAUGGCUGGAGUGAGAUAGGGGUGUGCGGAACUUCCGGUGGAGCGGUGAAAUGUGUUGAUAUCGGAAGGAACGCCGGUGGCGAAAGCGGCACACUGGGUCUCAACUGACGCUGAGGCACGAAAGCCAGGGGAGCGAACGGG